rnacentral:rRNA from 1 species
GGGUGAGUAACACGUGGGCAACCUGCCCUGCAGAUCGGGAUAACUCCGGGAAACCGGUGCUAAUACCGAAUAGUUUGCCGCCUCUCCUGAGGCGGCACGGAAAGACGGUUUCGGCUGUCACUGCAGGAUGGGCCCGCGGCGCAUUAGCUAGUUGGUGGGGUAAUGGCCUACCAAGGCGACGAUGCGUAGCCGACCUGAGAGGGUGAUCGGCCACACUGGGACUGAGACACGGCCCAGACUCCUACGGGAGGCAGCAGUAGGGAAUCUUCCGCAAUGGACGCAAGUCUGACGGAGCAACGCCGCGUGAGUGACGAAGGUUUUCGGAUCGUAAAACUCUGUUGUGAGGGAAGAACAAGUGCCAACUAACUACUGGCACCUUG